ensembl:lncRNA
GCACGUUUGUCAGUGAAGGGUAGAAAACAUACAAGGAAUUGAACUCAGGACCUUGCACUUGCACGGCAAGCCUGGAAUCAUUGAGCUAAAUCCCCAGCCCUUAUUUACUAUAAUUUAUACAAAAUAAUUGGCCUGCUGGUUAAGAGGAUGUGAGCGGUACUUUUCAGCUUGCCUCGCUAUUCUCCUCAGGCAAGAAAACUGAAGCACAGAUAGUAAUCAGUAUUUGUUCAGUGGCCAAGCUGGUGCUCAAAUAAGAAGCUAAUUCCAGAACCCUGGCUCCUUACAUCAUAAUCCAGUAUCUUCUAUAUAUAAGGAAAACAUGUGAAGAAAAGAAAAGUACCAGGGAUCGAACUCAGGACCUUGUGCUUGCCAGGCAGGUGUGGUGCCACUGAACUAAAUCCCUGGCCCAGGAAUGCUAUGAUUUUAUUGCCAGCCUUGGUAACACAGUGAACUCAAGGCCAGUCUGAACUGUACAGUGAGGCCGUCUCUGAGAGAAAGGCAGACAGACAGACAGACACAGAGAGAGAAAGACACAGAGACAUAGAAAGAAACAAAAACCGGCAAUGAACUUCAUGAGUUCUUCACUCUAACAAGAGCUUUAGUAUUCUUCAUACCUCAGGUGUUCUAAUUAGCUUUUGUGUUAUGGUUCUAAUUAUCUUAAUAUGCA